ACCGUGACGUCAUCAACAGCCACAAAAAUCACAAAGAAGCUCCGCUUGAUAGUGUGUAGGUUAGUGGCAAUAGCUGAAGAUACAGUCCUAUAACUCAAGCUAUAACGUCUGAUACUGGCUGCAUAGGUGUUGUAGCAACCACCAAGCCUUAAAUAAUGCCAUGCCUCUUAUUUUUGAAAGAGGUUGCACUGUUUUUGUUACAAAAAGCUACCACCAGCCCCCCUGGAAUUUUUACUGAGACGGCGCUUAUGGAAUAACGUCUAACUCAGGCUCUGAUUCGGACUGACUGGUUUGACUGUCACUCCCUGUAUUUUGUCUGAACACCCAGUCGACGAUGUCUUCCCCUUCUCUGUCUGUCAAUCUGCCUGCCUCCACAUCUUCUUCCAGAGAUAUAAUUCACACCGUCCAGUCAAACAACCUGUCGAACACUUGCAUCCUUUAAGGAGUGAGUCGACUCGAUCACGGACAGCCUGUACGUUGGUGGCAGUAUCCCAUUUAAUGGACAAACCUGACGAGUGAAAUCAAUGUUCAAGGAGGCUGCAAGGGUACGUGCUGGCUCACUUCGCCAGUUGCUUGGACUACUCAUAUUCCCACUGACGCCAUGGCACAACUCACAUACUCCAUUGUCUGCAACACUGUCACUGACUUCCCCAAAAGAAAGCUGCCUUCUAGUUUUUCGCUUACUAGCUAGACACUAUUUUACAAAUGUUUGUAUUAAUUUUUUAUAUCGUUAUUGUGUGACACAACAAACCUGGAAUGUCUA